GAAUCAGCUAAUUAGAAAUAUCAGAUGUACGUGGCUGUGUGUCGAACACACACACAGAUAGACAUCCCAUGUGGUUCCACUUUAAACAAACUGCAACUGAAAGCAACACUGCAGUCAGUGUAUUCUAAUCUGGAGCAGGGCAGGUGGUGUAACUGUCUAACGAGACCCAUAGCGUGUUACAUGCUAAGCUAACACAAAAACACAUUCUCUCAGUAACCUGACCAGGUAAAUGAAGACGGUGUGUUCAGUACGUGACAGGUGUGUUCAGUAAAUGACAGGUGUGUUCAGUAGACGACAGGUGUGUUCAGUAAAUGACAGGUGUGUUCAGUAAGUGACAGGUGUGUUCAGUAAGUGACAGGUGUGUUCAGUACGCGACAGGUGUGUUCAGUAAGUGACAGGUGUGUUCAGUACGUGCCAGGUGUGUUCAGUAAGUGACAGGUGUGUUCAGUACAUGACAGGUGUAUUCAGUAAGUGACAAGUGUGUUCAGUAGACACCAAGUGUGUUCAGUAAGUGACAGGUGUGUUCAGUAAGUGACAGGUGUGUUCAGUAGACACCAAACGUGUUCAGUAAGUGACAGGUGUGUUCAGUAGACACCAAACGUGUUCAGUAAGUGACAAGUGUGUUCAGUAGACACCAAGUGUGUUCAGUAAGUGACAGGUGUGUUCAGUAAGUGACAGGUGUGUUCAAUAAGUGACAGGUGUGUUCAGUACGCAACAGGUGUGUUCAGUACGUGACAGGUGUGUUCAGUACAUGACAGGUGUGUUCAGUACGUGACAGGUGUGUUCAGUACGUGACAGGUGUGUUCAGUACGUGACAGGUGUGUUCAGUAAGUGACAGGUGUGUUCAGUACGUGACAGGUGUGUUCAGUACGCGACAGGUGUGUUCAGUACGUGACAGGUGUGUUCAGUACAUGACAGGUGUGUUCAAUAAGUGACAGGUGUGUUCAGUAAGUGACAGGUGUGUUCAGUAAGUGACAGGUGUUUUCAGUACGUGACAGGUGUGUUCAGUAAGUGACAGGUGUGUUCAAUAAGUGACAGGUGUGUUCAGUACGUGCCAGGUGUGUUCAGUACGUGACAGGUGUGUUCAGUACGUGACAGGUGUGUUCAGUACGUGACAGGUGUGUUCAGUACGUGACAGGUGUGUUCAGUAGAUGACAGGUGUGUUCAGUAAGUGACAGGUGUUUUCAGUACGUGACAGGUGUGUUCAGUACGUGCCAGGUGUGUUCAGUAAGUGCCAGGUGUGUUCAGUACGUGCCAGGUGUGUUCAGUAAGUGACAGGUGUGUUCAGUACGUGCCAGGUGUGUUCAGUAAGUGACAGGUGUGUUCAGUACGUGCCAGGUGUGUUCAGUACGUGCCAGCCACACUCGUUGCUGACAGGUGUAUAAAACCGAGCACACCGCCAUGCAAUCUCCAUAGACAAACAUUGUUAGUAGAAUGGCUCGUACUGAAGAGCUCA
rnacentral:lncRNA from 1 species